AAGAGAAAAAAAUUGAGAAAAACAAUACAGAGAGAGUUCUGAGGACAGAGACGCCGAGAGAAGGCAGUGAGGGCCGAGACUUGGUGCUCAGAUGAAUUAUUAUUAUUAUUUUACAGAGUACCGAGGAUAAGCUUGGAUUGCUAGUUGCGAGAUUAGGUGAAAAAGUAGGAGUUGAGGAAUUAUUAUUAUUUUUAUUUUGGAGAUGUUGUAUCUAUAUUUGAGGAAAUUGAUUUAGUAUCAAUUUAAUUAAUUUGAGAUGGUGUCUUAUUUGUUUUGAGGAAAUUUGAUUGAUUUUGUAUCAAUAAAGGAUAUUUAAUUUCUUUUGA